CGACCGGCGCACGGGUGAGUAACGCGUAUCCAACCUGCCCACCACUUGGGGAUAACCUGCGAAAGUAAGACUAAUACCCAAUGAUAUCUCUAGAAGACAUCUGAAAGAGAUUAAAGAUUUAUCGGUGAUGGAUGGGGAUGCGUCUGAUUAGCUUGUUGGCGGGGUAACGGCCCACCAAGGCAACGAUCAGUAGGGGUUCUGAGAGGAAGGUCCCCCACAUUGGAACUGAGACACGGUCCAA
rnacentral:rRNA from 1 species